CCAAUAAAACCUUUUCACACCACAUUCUUUGAAAUCAUACAAAAUUUCUCCCAUUUUCACAUAUAUAUCACGUCCUUGUUUGGUUUCUUCCAUAUUUUCAAUUCGUUGUAUCCAUUCUUCAGGUAUUGCUUUCUUAAUUAAAUCAUAUUUGUUUAUUAAUUCCUGUCUGGUAAAGUCCUCCUUUGCCUCUUCCAUGACAUCCACAAUGUAUUGUAUUGGUAAAAACCCUUCUUUAAACUCAUAUAAAACAUCCCUUACUUUUGUUAUCCCUACAUCCCACCAUUUCUUA